UUUCGUGCUGCAUCAGGUUAUUUCAGUCUGAAGGCAGCAGCCAGAGGCCGACCACUGAUCAUGAAGUGAACCAGACUGAAAGUGAUUACAGCUCUCUGCUGCAUGGUAGUAGCCACCGGAUGGUGCCAUUAAGUCAUAGUUCUCCAAAUUGUUGGUCCAGAAAAUGACCUUCAGUUCAAUGAUGUGAUGCAGGAAGAAAACUUGUGUCUUCAGGAUUCUGCUGCUUCACAUGAACCUGCUCCAUCCAGAGUGA